rnacentral:rRNA from 1 species
UACGUAGGGGGCAAGCGUUUGUCCGGAAUUAUUGGGCGUAAAGCGCGCGCAGGCGGUCCUUUAAGUCUGAUGUGAAAGCCCACGGCUCAACCGUGGAGGGUCAUUGGAAACUGGGGGACUUGAGUGCAGGAGAGAAGAGUGGAAUUCCACGUGUAGCGGUGAAAUGCGUAGAGAUGUGGAGGAACACCAGUGGCGAAGGCGACUCUUUGGCCGUGU